GGGGUUUUGAAGGGGAAACUGGCAAGGAGCAUAACAUUUGAGAUGUAAAUAAAUAAAAUAACAAAUAAAAAUAAUAAACAGAAAAAAUAAAAAUCACUUUUCACACAAACAAACACAAAAUGUCAAUCCUAGACACAGCAGUUUGCUUAGAAGUAGAUUCACGCAGGCAGUGACUGGUGUGUAUGUGUAUGUGUGUAUGUGCCCGUGUGCGUUUGCGUGAGCAUGUGCCUGUGUGUAUGUUUGUGUGUGUGUGUGUGCAUGAGCGCGUGCAUGUGUGUGUGUGUGUGUGUGUGUGUGUGUGUGCGUGUGCACAAACACACAUCUGGAAAGCAGCACUUCUUUUACCUACGGAUUUUUCGCUAUGCUCAGGAAGUCCCCCGUUAGCAACUGUGACUGAUGUGACGAAUGCAUUUUGCGUGCUGUAAUGAAAUUGAAAUUGUGCUGUGAGGCUAAGCAAAGCAGUUCAUCAGUAUUUGCCUUGGCUUUCUUAUCUGUCAUCUGAGGAAGAAAUACUGUACAGGACAGUUUUAAAAAAAAUAAUGUCACUCAAAAUACAAAGCAAUGUCCUGUGAAUUGUAUGAGCCUCAUAGCCACGUUUUACUGAAGACUGGUUGUCCCUCAGUCGUGCUGCGAGCUGGGCUGUGCUUCCGGGCCUCUCACAGGAAAUGGCAAGUCGCAGUACAUGUUUACCAUGUGUUCGCAUUUAAAUAAGAAAACAUGUAACGCUGGCUGGGUCUCUUUUCCCAGUUCCAAGCAUUGCUGAGUCAAACUGUUGGCCAUGGUGAUUAUAGAGUGUACGGAUAGUACAAGAUGAUAUUGCAUAAUCUCCUUACACAUGUGUCUUCGUAUGUCUUUGUUGAUCUUGUUUAAUAUAGAAAACCAGGAAGCUCCCUCUGAUGGAGAGCGUGGAAUUUGAAGUCAGGCUUCUUGAGAAAACCAAGGCUCUAGAAACUGUUGUGCAAAGCCUCUUGUUAUUAGUGACACACAUAAGAUGUAUUAGAAAUUAGAAUGAGAACAUUCAGGAUGUAGGAAGAAAACAUGCCCCUGGAGGCAGGGCACAUCGGGGAGGAAAACAAUUGUAAGCAAAAUGCAAUGGCAGGCGUAUGAGAAUGAUGGGAUGGAACUCAUUUUUUUUUGUGUGGUACCUUAAAAAUUAAUAAAAGCCAGAUAAGCUUGGUAGGAAAUUUGAGCUAAGUGUGACAGACUGAACUCCAUUCUUCUUCCAAGCCAUUCUAACCACUAUUUCCUACCAUGAUUUUUCAUAGCAAAGAAGAGGGAGAUACAUACCUAAAUCCUAAUGAUGUAUUUUAGGCAAAAUAAAACUGACACCAUUGAAAACUGUAAAAGCUGAAUAAGGUGUAUAAUACAAAUUCUUGUGUUUUGGUUGCACCGGGUUUAAUUUUAAAUUGAAGCCUGGAUGACUAGUAGAAUCAGAGAGAGAAUAAGAGCUUGUUUUCUGUAAGAUAUCAUUGUUUUCCUUAGAGCAUGAAAAAUAGAGCAAGCGGUUACAGAGCAUAGAGGAAUAAAGAAUACUAACUGUCCUGCUGUCUGGAAAUGAGAGGAUAUGAUGGAGCCUGCCGCUGCCAACUCGGCCAUCAGGGACUCCAGCAGCUGACCAGACACUUAAUUCAAUGGAAAAAAAAAAAGAAGGACGGAGACAGUGCUUUGAGGCAUGUAUCUAAAAACAGCAUCUACCAUUGAAUCUGAUGCGGUGACAACUGGCCGUGCUAAUUUUCACUUCUAAUAGAUCUGAAAUUAUUUCAUUAGCAUACACAUUAGCAAUCCACCUGAAAACACUUAAGACUGUUCUACAAACACACGCUUACUGUACCCACAUAGAAUUUCAUGCGUUGAUUUAGAAAAACAAUUUGUAUGCACACACAUUUAAACCAAGAGAGAUAAAUGUAGAUGGUGUAUAAAUCUGUGGUAUAGUGUUUGCCCUGCAUCCAUGAGCCUUGACUUUGAGUUCCCAAACCCUUAAAAAACACAUAAAUUAUCAGAGACAAGCCUUUCAUUUAAAAACACCAAGUCAGUCUCCCUACCUCCAAGCCCUUCUGGUCCUCAUCCCAGGGUAGAUGGAGAUAAAGAAAUCCUGGUAAGUGAAGUUAGUUCGGCCACUAAGGUGAAGAAUGGCAGUUCUCAGAAACUCCGCUGUCUUGUAAAUACACCUUGUUAUCUUAGUUUCUUCAUCUGGUCUCAUUGCUUUGCUGAAGGAUGCCAUAGUUUCCUCAGUAUCUGUAGGCCUUGGAGCUUGUAAACCAGUAUGUCUUUAUUCCUUUGAUUCCUUUCUGUAUUUAUGUUAUCAAUGAUAUGAUAGGAGAUUCCAAGUCAAAUCUAUGAGCAGAGACUGGAAGCAUUAAAGGAAAUCUCUGGAGAAAGUAACUCUCAUAUUCAUUAAGUAUUAGUACAAUUUUUCUGUUUCUUAAUGUUAAGGUGAUUCCAUUUCUUACAAGUCCUCAUACUAUGUCUUAUUUCUUUUUCCUUCCUUCCUUCCUUCCUUCCUUCCUUCCUUCGUUCCCCCCCUUUUUUAAAAAGAGGGCUCAAACAGAAGUACUUAUGUCUUCCCAUUGCUGGAAUUGACAUAGAGCCCUCUCAAAGCCUCAAAGAGCACAGAGACAAAUGCUUUUGUUACUCUAGCCCAUACCUCUGGCUGUAAGCAUGGGAGUUCUAUAGAGCCUUGAUGGAGAAUGGCCAGAAUCACACGGGCACAUGAGCCUGCUCAUUGCUUCUGAGUAGCACACUAGUUAUUGGGGCAUCUAGGCUGUUCUCCACAGCUUGCUCCUAUUUGUCACUUGCGAGUUGUCUUGGCCAGGCUUCUGGUCAGCGUGAUCAAUGGAGCUGGCCGAUCCUUCAAAAUGGAGUGUAACUCUCAGUGACUUCAGUAUAAACUGGUUUUAUAGGUCUGGACUGUUCCUUUCAUGAAGCCAGCUUGUCAGAAUGAAGUUCCUUGCCUCAAAAUAUCUUACUAGCCUUGCCUCUCCCAACCCCUUUUACCUGAUACAGAAAUGAAUACAUGAUGGACUCCAAACUGUCUGCAUCCACAAGGUUCUCCCACAUUUUUGCAGGGCAUCCCAGCAUUCUGUUAUGUUUCCUAUUGGUCAUCUGACUUUGGAACCAAUGCUAUGCUUCCAGCUUGUGGGGGAGCCUGUGCAUCACGUCCUGGGCACGUGUAACAUUGGGGCUUUAUCUUCUGUGCAUCUUUGUAAACCACACUAUGGUUGGACGUUUACCCACGUAUAGAAUGUUUACUGAAAGAUUCUGACGUAAAUAGAGCCAUGAAAAUGUAAUGGUGAGUAAGAUAGAUGGGAUAUCUGUUCACAUAUCUUAACAUUGUAUUAAACAAACAUACAGAAGAAAAUGUGAGAAUAGUGGAAAUUAUAGUAUGAGUAUGGGACUCUUCUUUAGAAACUUGGUUCAUAGGAUUCAUAGGAAAAUGAUGGCUUUACACCUGGAAAGCCACUUUGACAGUCUGCUUUGUAACUGUUAAGGGGAAAUUGGGCUCAGUGAUCUUAAGACAUCAUAUUAUGAGAAUAUCAAAUGCAUGUGUGGAUUGUCUACUGGUAACAAAAGUGUUAUGAUAAUAUCAUCAGGUAAUGUAUAUUUUCAAUUAUGUAUCAGUAUGUCUAUUAUAGUGAUAUACAUUAUGGUAUACUGUAAGAUAAUGGUAUAACGGUAUGAUUACCCAGAUAUAAUGGUAUUUUAUUUUGUUUAUAGAAACUAUCUUCUUUCCUUUUACUGUAGCAUUAAUUAAGCAUCAUAGUAUAUUUUUUUACAUAUUCAAUUUCUUUUGUAUAAUUCUAUUUUUCAAAGAUUGGAACAUCAUAUAAACCUCAGUAUUCUAACCUUAAUUCACCAAAUGAAGCACACACCCCACAUAAAACUGUCUAGUUCUGGGAAAUUCUUCCUGGUGAAACUUUUCGUUUCUGAGUUUAAGUUGUUUAUACCUUCUUGAUUCAAUUGCUAGAAUAUUAGGUUGCAUGACUUAAGCAGUUUAUCCAUUAUCCAUUUCUUCCUUAUUUCCUACAUUUGGAAUAUAUGUUGUCACAAUGUCCCCAGGGAUCCCUUAGAUGUCAUUGUAAUCUGUUGGAAGAACUUAACUAUUGGCUGUAAUUCUGUUAAUUGGGUCUUCUUCGUCCUCAUUUUAUUUUGGUCUGGAAUUUGUCACCUUGUUAGUGUUUCUCAAGUUCCACGUGUAACUUGAUUCUGCAUAGGUAUUUUUCUCUUCGUGAGUUAAUUCUACCCUAUAGGUUCUCUUUAUGGAUGGGCUUGUUAAACUCCUCCAUCUCUGAAGCCUGGUGCUGCAUCUGCUGAAGCUGGUGUUACUGCUCUGUGUGCCUGGUGUGGUCCGUUCCCUGCUCACUUGCAUCUCACCAACUGUUUAAUGUGAGCGUUUGGGCUGACCUCUCCUUUGAUUUUAAAUUCAUUCAUAUCUUUUCCCUCUUCGUGUGUUUCUUGAAGAUAACAGAUAAUUGGAUCCUGCUUUUUGUUUUUGUUUGUUUUGUUUUUCUUCACUGCAGUCUGUGUCCUUGAAUUGGUGAGCUAAUGGCAUUUCCUCUAGGGUUAUUAUUGAGAAGGCUUUGGUAUUUCUUAUGAUUUUAUUUGUUUUUCCUCUUGAUGAUUUAAGUUUGCUAGGUUUUUUUUCCUUCCUUUCAACUUCUUACAGUGUUUUCAGGGUUCUGUGCUGCCUGUGCAAAGGCCUCCCUGCCUCUCCUGUUUAUUCUUCUCAUGAAGUCACCUUUGGUCAUAGUAUUCAUUUAAAUAUGUAUAGUAUACACUUAAGCCACACUUUGCUCACUACUAUGACACUCUUGGCCGAUGUUUGCUCAUAUAUUUAUUUCUCGGUUCAUUUUCUAAGCUUAUGACAGAAUAUGUCAGAUCUGGUAGUUAGAAUGAAAAGAAGCUCAUCCAGCUCUCGGCUCUGAUGUCUGGAAUGUCUAAGGAAGGGCCUGAUAGUAGCUUUUGAUUGAGGCUUCUUGCCAUGUCAUUUAAUGGUGGAUGCUAGAAGUACUGGGGAGUGCAAAGCCGGGCAGUGAGCAGCUGGGGUUCAUGGCUCUUGCAACAAGUUUACCCUUAGUGCAUCUAGGCCGCCGUGACCAAGACCUUGUUUUACUCAGGUGGUCCAGUGUCAUGAACUUCUCUUGCCUCUAUUCUUGCCUUCUUAACUAUCAGCUCCACUGAUCUUCCUGUGUAGUUUGAUACAAUAUGACUGGUCUAAGAUGUAUUCCCUUCUUCAGCUUUAGAAGACUUUGGAAAGACGUGGUCCUUCUUUGUAUAUUUGGAUAAAAUUCAGGGUAAAGUCAUUCGGAUCUGCACAUUCUGUUAAACCUGUUUUGGUGAGAGGUUUGAUUGCCGCUCCAGUCUCUUCAUUGAUUAUAGAUUUUGCUCAGAUUGUUGACUUUUUCCUUGAUAUGGUUUCAAUAGUCCAUUUCUUUUCUGCAAGGAAUGUAAUAAUUUUUUAUCUAUUUCUCUGCUCAGAUAAUGUUGGGCUAUGUUUUACUAGACUUAACAGGAGGUUUGCUAUUAGCUUUGCGUAUGAUAGUCUCAUAUAUAAUCUCAAAAUCUCAAGAUCUCACUUUGUAUUUCAGGCCGACUAAAACCCAGUGUGUAGGCCCGGUUGAUAUUGAAUUCAUGUGAUUCUCCUGUCUCGGCCUUUCAACUGCUAGUAUUAGAGAUAUGAGCGAUCACAGCUGGUUUAAUUCAAUUUUUUAUCUUAAGUCAGGAAAGUUUUAUUUCUGUUGCUUAAUAAAAUACAUUGUUAAGUUUUAAAUACUGUAGCAUUUAAAAACAGGUUUUAUAUUAGAUCUCAGACAUGUAGAUCUAAUGUGUUAUUCAGUUUCCCCUGAGCUGACAUAGCUGUUCAGGACAGCUGGCACAUGUAAUGAGUUUGUGUGGAGGAGGGGUCUCUUCUUCCCAUGCUGUUUUACAGCCUUGGAGAUAGAACCUAGGGCAUCAUCGUGCCGGUAAGUAUGCUACCAAAUGGGGAAGUUUGUCACAGAACACGAUCUUGCAGUAAAUGUAGCCCAGGCAGGUUGCUGAGAGUGCUGGCUUCUGCGAGAGUUAAAGCUGUUUCUUGACUGUCUCUCGACCCAUGUUCUAGAGAGUUGGAAGGUAAAUUAAGAUAGUAUCAGUGUACUCUGUAUUCAGUCAGAACCCUACUGGCAACUGCGUUGGGAUGCAUGUCCUAAGGACUCUGAAAUCCAGCAGUCCUUUCUUCUUGUUCCCCACUUAAUUACUGAUACAUAUAAAAAUACUUUAAAUUUAGUAGCAUUCAGUGUUGGUUUAAUGUAAUGGUUCCUUAUGAUAAAAAGGAAAUUUUAAGUACCGAGUACAUGCUUCAUAUUCUAGCAAGAACGUAUUUAUCUCUGGUUUGUUGACUUAUUCUUCUUUAUUGCAGUGUCUAUGACUGUAAGAAACUCCUUUAAUGGAUGUGUCCCUCCCCGGCCUUUAGUGUUUCUCUGUGACCAUUUAUUGCACAAGUAUUGAUUUCAGAAUAUCUUUCUGAUUUUCCCUUGGCAAUUUGAGUUUGUGUACCUGUGCCAAGAAAGGAUUUUAUUUGUUUCCAUGCACAUAGUUUAUGGGGCUAUGUGCUUUUUCCAAUAAUUGUUUUACUAGAGUCAAUAGGAGGCUGGUUAAUAGUUUUUCAUACAGUAAUAGAAGUUUUUGAAGCAGGGAGAAUGUAAUCAUGAAAUUUAGAAAUAAGCAAACAAGGGCCAAAAGAUUUAGGCUGUGCAUUUCCUGUAAGUACUCUGAGUUUUGAAAUUAAGCAGUACAUUUUUGCAUUGGGUGAGAGUAGUUGCAAAGAUAAAACAAUAAUGAUCAGGGUUGGGGAUUUAGCUCAGUGGUAGAGCGCUUGCCUAGCAAGCGGAAGGCCCUGGGUUCGGUCCCCAGCUCCGAAAAAAAGAAAAAAGAAGAAGAAAAAGAAAAAAAAAAACAAAAAAACCCCAAUAAUGAUCGCAGACAUUGGUUCUAAGUGGUAGGCCUGUGUGUGUGUGUGUGUGUGUGUGUGUGUGUGUGUGUGUGUAUGUGUGUGUGUGUGUGUUUGUAUUUGUGUGAGUGUGUGUGUAUUGUGUGUGUAUAUGUGUUUGUGUGUGUGACA